GUGUUUGCUUCCACAGCACAUAUGGUGGGAUUGGAAACAUGCAGAGAUUAGCAUGGCCUCUGCACAAAGAUGACACGCAAAUUUGUGAAGCAUUCCAUAUUAAA